rnacentral:rRNA from 1 species
GUGCCAGCAGCCGCGGUAAUACGAAGGGGGCUAGCGUUGUUCGGAUUUACUGGGCGUAAAGCGCGUGUAGGCGGGCCGGUAAGUUGGGGGUGAAAUCCCGAGGCUCAACCUCGGAACUGCCUCCAAAACUGUCGGCCUGGAGCAAGAUAGAGGCGAGUGGAAUUGCGAGUGUAGAGGUGAAAUUCGUAGAUAUUCGCAGGAACACCAGUGGCGAAGGCGACUCGCUGGAUCUUUGCUGACGCUGAGACGCGAAAGCGUGGGGAGCAAACAGGAUUAGAUACCCUUGUAGUCC